GCCAAGGCACCACAAACAGACCAUGUACUCGCAUGUGCGGUCCACCACCCACUGCAGCAGCUGCCCCAGGAACAGAAAGAGCUUGGAUGGAAAGGUGAACAAGAGAAAGAUGGUCAGGAGAGGUCAUCAGGUGUACAAGACCAAGAAACGAAGCUCAGGGCGCAAAUGCCACUGAUGAGAAGGCUCUCCCUGGCUUGUUCCUGUGCCAGCUGCACUCAAAUGAGGAAUGCCGCCUCGCACGAAAUCUAGGACAAAGUCAAUCUUUGCAGGAACAUGCUACCAUGGUGAUUUCUAUGCAACUAUGAUUAAAGCUGGUACACCGGA